CAGCUAUUAUAUUUCUGUGUUUACAUUCAGGUAAACACUAUAUCCGACAUACUUUUGUUCCCGGUACAUAUACGUGGUAUUAUUUGUAGUUCAUCAAAUCGAGUUUAACUCUCUUAACAUAUUCAAGAAGUAUUGAAGGUUCAGUGUAUAAUUUCUACAGCAUGUCUGCUAUUGCGAAUAGCUUUGGGAAAAGCGAUAAAAUACAAUGUACACUUUACUGCAAACAAAGGACAUUGCAGAUAAUCAGCUUAAAAAAAGAUGACGAAAAUACAGAAACAGGAACUUCAGGAGACGAAGGAUGUAACGCGUGUCUGGUACGAACGAAAGGACAUGAUAAUAAUAAGGUG